rnacentral:rRNA from 1 species
GAUCAUGGCUCAGAUUGAACGCUGGCGGCAUGCCUUACACAUGCAAGUCGAACGGCAGCACGGGGCGAACCUGGUGGCGAGUGGCGAACGGGUGAGUAAUGCAUCGGAACGUGCCAUUGAUGGGGGGUAACGUAGCGAAAGUUACGCUAAUACCGCAUAUUCUGUGAGCAGGAAAGCAGGGGAUCGCAAGACCUUGCGCUCUUUGAGCGGCCGAUGUCAGAUUAGCUAGUUGGUGAGGUAACGGCUUACCAAGGCGACGAUCUGUAGCGGGUCUGAGAGGAUGAUCCGCCACACUGGAACUGAGACACGGUCCAGACUCCUACGGGAGGCAGCAGUGGGGAAUUUUUGGACAAUGGGGGCAACCCUGAUCCAGCCAUGCCGCGUGAGUGAAGAAGGCCUUCGGGUUGUAAAGCUCUUUCGGCCGGGAAGAAAUCGCAUGGGUUAAUACCCUGUGUGGAUGACGGUACCGGCAUAAGAAGCACCGGCUAACUACGUG